AUUGAACGCUGGCGGCAGGCUUAACACAUGCAAGUCGAGCGAGCGGCGGACGGGUGAGUAAUGUCUGGGAAACUGCCUGAUGGAGGGGGAUAACUACUGGAAACGGUAGCUAAUACCGCAUACCAUCAGAUGUGCCCAGAUUGGAUUAGCUAGGAGGUGGGGUAAUGGCUCACAUAGGCGACGAUCCCUAGCUGGUCUGAGAGGAUGACCAGCCACACUGGAACUGAGACACGGUCCAGACUCCUACGGGAGGCAGCAGUGGUGAAUAUUGCACAAUGGGCGCAAGCCUGAUGCAGCCAUGCCGCGUGUGUGAAGAAGGCCUUCGGGUUGUAAAGCACUUUCAGCGAGGAGGCGUUACUCGCAGAAGAAGCACCGGCUAACUCCGUGCCAGCCGCCGCGGUAAUUC
rnacentral:rRNA from 1 species